AGAGAUUUUCGAGGAUCCUGAAAUCAGGGCACAGGUGCAGCUGCCAGCCCUGCCUCCUGUUCAUGCUGGCUCUUGAGUGUCCCUGGUAAUAAGUUCAAAUACAGUAUCUGAGGGGGAUUGGUUCCAGAACCUCCUGCAGAUACCCAAAUCCAGGAUAGUGCAGAAAGGUGUAUACUAAACAACAUUUGGAAGAAGAAAAACCUGGCAUCAUUCUGAGAAAGUAUUUUCUCUAACUCUGAGCAUGCAGUUAAUUCUAUGGAUAAACUGAAAGGAACAGGAUGGAUAUUGGACA
rnacentral:lncRNA from 1 species